CUUGAGCGGCUCGCACAUCCUUCGUUCGAAACCCGAGCGUGUAGGCUUUACCAGGAGAAAGAAUGGAUCAGGCUGCAAGAAAUGGAAUUCGCCUUCAGGUUGCCAGAUUUCAGAAAGGACCAGCAGGUAUUCCAUGCAAAUAUGUCAUGCCUCUGCCACGCGAUGGGAAGUGAUUUAUGUUCUUCAGAUGUGAAGCGCUGAGAACUGAUCAAAAACGGGGGCAGGAGGAAGGACCUCACAUGCACAGCAAUUUGUGUAUGCACCGCAGCAAGGCAUAACGGAUGGUUGUUCAGCCCUUAUCAACUGAUCUCUGGAGGCAGUGGGUCGGGGGACAAUUCAGAAGGGUUCUGGAUUUGUCUCCGAACGAAAGGACCGGGAACAACAUCAGAAGAGACGGAGAAAGCGAGCGAUCAAACAGAACCUCUGCUAGUUCGGUCUCUCGGUGCAAGCGAGAGAGGGAGGGGCAAAGCAACAAUAGAUGACGUCACAUCGGACGUAUGGAAAGACGCACAGCCAAUCGGGCGCGAAGUCUCACGUUCUGCAGCUUUCCCGCCAUCUGAGUUUAGCCCUAAGGGGCUGUAUGUAGGUAGUUCUCUGGUCCUUAAAAGAGAACUCGGGGAAUACAUUCGUACGAAUGUUUUGGCUCUUAGAUAAGAGAGCAGUGCAGCUCUUCGCUGGGGUCAGUAGCGAGAAGCAAUGUGCCCUACAGGCUGGCUUGGGAAUGUCCCAAUGACUCCUCUAUCGUUUUUCGCUGGGCCUCCGGAAUAUGUCUUAAAGUUGUACAGGAAUGCCUUUUUU